rnacentral:tRNA from 1 species
UCCUCGUUAGUAUAGUGGACAGUAUCUCUGCCUGUCACGCAGAAGACCGGGGUUCGAUUUCCCUGACGGGGAG